rnacentral:rRNA from 1 species
AGUGAACGCUGGCGGUGUGCCUAACACAUGCAAGUCGAACGGCAACACAGUAAGCUCUUGCUCUUACCGUUGGCGAGGGGCGGGCGGGUGACGAGUACAUCGCAAUCUUCUUUUUCGGGGGGGAUAACGUAAGGAAACUUACACUAAUACCGCAUACGACCUACGGGUGAGAGCAUUGGAUCUUCUGACCUUUCGCGAUUGAAUUAGCCGAUGUCGGAUUAGCUAGUUGGCGGGGUAAAGGCCCACCAAGGCGACGAUCCGUAGCUGGUCUGAGAGGAUGAUCGGCCACACUGGAACUGAGACACGGUCCAGACUCCUACGGGAGGCAGCAGUGGGGAAUAUUGGGCAAUGGGCGAAAGCCUGACCCAGCGAGACCGCGUGGGUGAAGAAGGCCUUCGGGUUGUAAAGCCCUUUUGUUGGGAAAGAAAAGCAGUAGGUUAAAACACCGCUGUCCUGACGGUACCCAAAGAAUAAGCACCGGCUAACUUCGUG